GCGGAAGCGCCCCGGGCCCGCGCCGCCCUCGCGUGGCCGUGGCCGUGGCCGUGGCCGUGGCCGUCGGUGCGCUGCGCUCGCGCGCUGCCCGGGACGCAAGCCGCCGGAGCCCCGCUCGGCCACACCCUCGCCGCGCCGCCCUCCGGGCACCGCCAGCCCCGGCCGGCAGCCCUGCCCCGCCAGGCCCCAGCGCCACCCGGCCCCCGGGCUGCAGAGCCCCGCCCCCUCACCGUGCCCCACUCCGGACUGGCUGGCUCUGUCCCCCUCGCCGCGGCGUCUGUCUUCUCCUCUAACCAGCUCUCCGUGUCCUUAGAUGAAGACAGAGCUGACACCGAAGUCACUCGCGGAGUGACUUCCUGCGCUCCGCUCCGCAGGCAGCAGAAGGGAGACAGCAGGACCGAGGGCAGGCUCUAAAGCCCUUUGAGAUCUGACGAAGACCACAAACCUCUGCUCCAUGAAAGGGAUCGAACUCAUGACUGCCUGCCUUGUCUGCUGAGCUAAAUCCCCAGCCCCUACAGAUUGACUUUUCAAUGUUCCUCUUUGGUCUUAGGGUCCUAAGAAGUAGUAACUAUGGUUUUUAAAGAGGGUGGGACCCUCAAUUCAUGAAGGGUUCUUUCUCAUGCAUUGUGCUUCUGUGAGAACAAGGAAAGAUGUUAUGGUUUCUAAUGUGGUUUGGGGCACGCUCCUGAGAGUGGGAAGAUCAGUUGGGGGUCAGACUGCGAGGCUGCCUGAAAGACAGCAAUAUAGGGAAAAAGUCAGCAUGAAAUAGGAGAAAAGGAGACUGGAGGAAGUACCAAGUUUAGGGUGGGUAUGGGAGCUACAGUUGUGAACACUUGAGGAGCAGGAUAUUCACUGAUGAAGAAGCACCCAGGGGGGACACCAGAGAUGGAGUGGGACCACGUCGAGCUGAGCACACCGCACACACGGGGAAAGGAAGGGGCUGGGGUGAUUCCGGCCUCAUCUUCAGGGCAAAGAAUUAGCUGGUUCCCUUUCCUCCAUCGGUGGGCUAUGGGGGAAGAAUCAUUGCAUUCAUGUGCAAUUCUGUGUUAGGCAGCUCUGUGCUACUGUAAUAAAUACCUGAGGAAAUCUGUUUACGAAGAGAAAGGGUAUUGCCUCAUGGUGUCACCAGUUCCAGUCCGUGGUCAGCGGCACGUUAUGGGAGGGCCAUGGAAUGGAGUGGAACAGGUCGCUCACCUCUUAGCCAGGAAGCAAGACGGACACAGCGGGGCUCCAUCCAGGGCUCCCCUCACCGUGACCUGAAGACUUCCCUCCAGGACCCACCUGAACAAGAUCUUUUAGCACAGGCUGGCCUCCAAUUUACCGGGAUCCUCCUGCCUCGGUCUCCUGAGUGCUGGGAUUACAGGCAGGCCCCACCACACCUGGAUCCAUAAGCUUUUUGAAUCGAUGCAGGACAUAGGGAAAAACCCCCACUGUUGUGAACUUGAAACAAACACAAAUGUGAGAAAUGAAUUUGAGAAAAAAUUUAAAUGUACAUCUAAAAGAAGAGCAGAGGUGAUCACCAAGCUGUCUCGAGUAACUGAUGGGGCGGCUGACUGAUGGGGACACUAGCCAAGACAAAGACCAUUACUGAAGAAGAGAAGCCAGCCUGGGAAGAGCAGACUGUGAUUCAGUCUGAGAAAGGGGAAGACUGAGUGGCUUGAAGAGUAUUCCGUGGCAGAUUCCUUAAAUAACAUUUUUUCCGGAGUCCUAUACAAUAAAUGUACACUAUUCAAAGUAUGUGA